rnacentral:rRNA from 1 species
AUUGAACGCUGGCGGCAUGCUGUACACAUGCAAGUCGAACGGCAGCGCGGGCUUCGGCCUGGCGGCGAGUGGCGAACGGGUGAGUAAUGCAUCGGAACGUGCCCAGUAGUGGGGGAUAGCCCGGCGAAAGCCGGAUUAAUACCGCAUACGACCUGAGGGUGAAAGCGGGGGACCGAAAGGCCUCGCGCUAUUGGAGCGGCCGAUGUCGGAUUAGCUAGUUGGUGGGGUAAAGGCUUACCAAGGCGACGAUCCGUAGCUGGUCUGAGAGGACGACCAGCCACACUGGGACUGAGACACGGCCCAGACUCCUACGGGAGGCAGCAGUGGGGAAUUUUGGACAAUGGGGGCAACCCUGAUCCAGCCAUGCCGCGUGCGGGAAGAAGGCCUUCGGGUUGUAAACCGCUUUUGUUCGGGAAGAAAUCCUCUGGGCUAAUACCCCGGGGGGAUGACGGUACCGGAAGAAUAAGCACCGGCUAACUACGUG